rnacentral:rRNA from 1 species
GACGAACGCUGGCGGCGUGCCUAACACAUGCAAGUCGAACGGAAAGGCCCUGCUUUUGUGGGGUGCUCGAGUGGCGAACGGGUGAGUAACACGUGAGUAACCUGCCCUUGACUUUGGGAUAACUUCAGGAAACUGGGGCUAAUACCGGAUAGGAGCUCCUGCUGCAUGGUGGGGGUUGGAAAGUUUCGGCGGUUGGGGAUGGACUCGCGGCUUAUCAGCUUGUUGGUGGGGUAGUGGCUUACCAAGGCUUUGACGGGUAGCCGGCCUGAGAGGGUGACCGGCCACAUUGGGACUGAGAUACGGCCCAGACUCCUACGAGAGGCAGCAGUGGGGAAUAUUGCACAAUGGGCGGAAGCCUGAUGCAGCAACGCCGCGUGCGGGAUGACGGCCUUCGGGUUGUAAACCGCUUUCGCCUGUGACGAAGCGUGAGUGACGGUAAUGGGUAAAGAAGCACCGGCUAACUACGUG